GGAGAGGUCGGAUAGUUUGGCCAAUUCCGCCGGUUUUGAAAACCGGAGCCCGAAAGGGCACGUGGGUUCGAAUCCCACCCUCUCCGCCA
rnacentral:tRNA from 1 species